UCCCUGAUAGCUCAGUUGGUAAAGAAUCUGCUUGUAGUGCAGGAGACCCCAGUUCAAUUCCUGGGUUAGGAA
rnacentral:tRNA from 1 species